AAGUCGUAACAAGGUUUCCGUAGGUGAACCUGCGGAAGGAUCAUUAUUGAUUUACCAUUAUUUCUGUGGAAUUUUAGUAUAUUACAGCAUCAUAUUAUCCAAUUAUAA
rnacentral:misc_RNA from 1 species